CUCUCAGCUUGAGCUAUUUAAACGCUGCACCAUUCCAGAAAGUUGAGAUUUAUGGACACUAAAUGCUAAACCAAGCUUUCAUUUCAAAAGUAUUCUGACUUGAGUAUUACAAAAAUGCAUUUGCCAGGAGUGAUCCAGCAGCUUAUGUGGUUGUUCCACAGCUCUUUUGUUUUCCUAUUUACAUUAUUUUUCUUGAUGUUUCACUAUGGGCUUUUUUAUGGACGAAGAUCACAGUCCCAGGAUAAUGGAGGGAUGUGUGUUGGUGGGGCAUCCCCCACGCUUCACAAAUGCGCACCGACCACCCUGAUGUGUAAACGUGGGACAUGCGUAAAACUAACCAAAAAGACUGGGUUGAAGUUGGAAGCGAUGUUCGUCCAAGACGGAGCCAUCAAGAGAGACCUGGUGAUAUGGAAAAUUGGCAACAGAAUUGCAUUACUUUUUCAGUAUGGUAGCAGUGAAACCUACGUGGUGACAGUGAAACAAAGUAAACUGGAGGCUACUGCAUAUAAUCCAAUACAAACAGGCGUGGACUCUCCUAUACUCCCACACCCUAAAGAACAGGGGUGACUGGCUCCAGCUCCGCCCUGAACAGGUGCAGUAAAACAUUUAUUUAUGGAUUAAAAUGCACAAGAUUUUUUUUUUAAAGAUUAUUUUUAACACUGUGGUUUCUGUAAUGUUUUACUUGAAUAUCAGACGAUUUAUUCAUUACUUAUUGUGUUAGGAUUUAUCUGAGAGCCAGGUGCAGUCAUCAAAAGAGCCACAUCUGGCUCACGAGCCAUAGGUUCCUGACCCCUGAUCUAAUCUGCGGUGGAAGCUGACCCCGUUGAUACAAACCAAAGAUGAAGCCAUUAUUAAGGAACAUAUCCAGAAUUUGGAGCCUUGGUUUCAAAUAGAAAAUGUUCAAAAUCACUACUUCUGUAUCCGGGCAGAAAACUGUAAUAAAUAUGUAACACUAUUUCGGGAAGGGAGGGCCUCAUACCUGACUCUUAGUGAUGAGCAAGACCUGACCAGCACCUUUAUAAUAUCUCCAUAUACCAUGUAAUGACAAUGAGCGAACUGGGGUGUAACUCUCCAGCAACGGGCCAGUGUGAGAUGGUGACAACUAAAAAGACAAUAAGCCUGCUAUUAGAGAUGACCAAAGUCAACAAUGACAUGAAUAAUAUGGGCGUUCACUGCUCCAACAAUUAUUAAAUAUUAACGGCAGCGUCAGCAUUCUGAUAACGCUGAAUCUGUGGAUAGAUAUUUAUCAGAAUGUGGGAACAAAAAAAUAUCUGUAAAAAUGUUCAAUUCAGUGUAAUAUUUUGAUAAAGCAUGGAGACCCUACAUGUUUGUUAUUCUUAUUAUUUGCUAAAUGCAGG